UGACACACCGGAUUGUCCUCGAGGCCAAAAU
rnacentral:piRNA from 1 species